AACAAAAAUGACUUCUAUAUUGAAGAGUUGCUUGAUCAAUAGAUUGGGAAGCCUCAAAGUGAAAGCUCUGGAUGGCAAUGCGAAUGAGGAGCCAAGAAAAGUGGAAAUUGUUCCCGAGGGAUGGCAAAUCUUGAAGCCCAUUCCCGAGAUCAACAACCUUGGCUCUGCUUCGUCAUCCAAAGGGAUUGGCAUUGGAACUCCAGUAGUAGUCACUGAGGCUCCUCAAAUCCUCAAGACUGCCGAGCCAAUGCCAAUGCUGCGCAAAAACGAUGGAGUAAUUCGCCCUGGGGAUGUUGGCAGGAUAAUUGAUAGGAGACCAAAGAAUGUCUGGGCUGUGAGGUUCGCUAUCGGAGCUUAUCUAAUCGAUGGGAAGUGUUUCAAAGAAUUCAAGCCAUGAAAUUUCAAUCUUCCUUUGUGGAGCUACAACUAAAAUCGUUGAUUAAUUUACAACGGACCAAUCAUGGUAAUAUAUCUGUGAUCGUCUUUGUCAGGUUUCCACACAGAUUAAACGGGAUCUCUUGUCAUGCCUCGGGAUCCAUUGAUUCGCAGCAGAUCACCUCUUCCAGAAGCAGCUUCAAUCUCAACCAAACACAAAGAAUCUAAACCCCGGAGAUGCCCGAUGCGACCUGGGGCUCGUUGAUCUUUUGGGCUCUCAUACCUUUCAGAGAAAAGGUAUAAAAAGGUAUGAAAAGGUAUUAAACCAGUCGAUUUGUGGAGUUUUUCAAGCUUCAGGUAAGUCUAUUUUUUACAAAAGGUGUUUGGGGUCGUUAAUUCGAGUAAUGGGCUCUUACGAAUAUUGCGUCUGGCACUUCCGAUCACACAACGGUCGUUAUAAACCAUGGGGCUGUGCCUAUCUUAGUGCAUCUUCUUUCAUCUGCAUGUGAGGAUGUCCGGGAUCAAGUAAUUGUUUCUUUUCGCAGUUUUAAAGCUUGGAACCUUGGAACCUGACAUUGUCUCGUACUACAAGCAGAAUGGGCUCUUGGUAAUGUCGCUGGCGACUCUCCAAAGUGCCGAGAUCUCGUCCUGAAUAACAAUGCCAUGAUGCCUUUGCUAGCACAGCUGAACGAAAAUGCGGAGCUGUCUAUGCUGCGCAACGCAACCUGGACGCUACCAAACUUUUGUCGUGGCAAGCGGCAACCAAACUUUGAGCAGUCAAGUCCUGCUUUAUUCAUUCAACUAAUAAGGUAGUUGAAGUGGUGUGGAUACUCCUCUUCAUUGGAAAUCUAUUGUUAGUACUAAAACAAAAGAGAAAAGGGCCCAAUCUCCAAGGGCUUCACUCUCCAAGAAGGAUGAGUGAAAGAAUGUUGUGAAUUGAUAAGAAAAUGAUGAAUGGAGAUGGAGAUCCACAAUUCA